GACAGUGGCUAACCUCAAAUGCAGCAUAAGAGCUAAGAACUCACCCAACCCCUUCUUCUCUUAGGAAAGUGCAUCAUUAAGACCCCUAUGAAUUUCUGACAUCUUUUCUUGAAAUAUCUGCUCAAAAGUUUUAAGUAACAAGAACUGAAAAGA